AAAAACAUCGCCUUCUGAUAACAAUAGAAGGUCCCGCCUGCCCAGUGACAAACUUAAACGGCCGCGGUAUUUUAACCGUGCAAAGGUAGCACAAUCACUUGUUCUUUAAAUAAGGACUAGUAUGAACGGCACCACGAGGGUUCUACUGUCUCCCCCUUUUAAUCAAUGAAACUAAUUUCCCCGUGAAGAAGCGGGGAUGCCAAUAUAAGACGAGAAGACCCCAUGGAGCUUUAAACUCAGUAUCACUUGCAUUAUUUAACACCAUUUAAACCUAGCAAACCUGCCUACUAGUUUUUGGUUGGGGUGACCGCGGAGUAAAACAAAACCUCCAUGAUGAAAGGACUUUCCUCCUAAUCAAAGAGCCACAACUCAUAGAAUCAAAAUAUUGACCCAAUUGACCCAAUUCAUUUGAGCAACGAACCAAGUUACCCUGGGGAUAACAGCGCAAUCCAUUUCAAGAGCCCCUAUCGCCAAAUGGGUUU
rnacentral:rRNA from 1 species